rnacentral:lncRNA from 1 species
GUGAUGUUUGUAUUCUUGCUUGUGAUGCUGGAAGCUGCAAUCGCCGCCGAUGUAUUUCUGAAUAGCUACUGGGAGGAGGUAAGGAGCACUUCAGCUGCUAUAUACUUGAUAUUUCUGUGUGUAUUUUAGAACCAAAAUAAGGUCACUUUUGUCGCCAAUUUUUUUGCUGGAAUGGAAGUCGUCUUGAGAACAAAAUGAAAUUAUGACUGGUCGAACCUGAGAAAGUUUACUUCUAAAAUAUACCCAUAUGUCGUCUUAAGAACAAAAUGAAAUUAUGUCUGCUUGAACCUGGGAAAGUUUCCUUCUAAAAAUAUGCCCAUAUGUAGUUUGCAUAGUAUGGCCUUUUCUUUUCACGUAGUAUGAGAAGUACAUGCAGUGCUGUACUUAAGAUAUUCUCUUCAAAAUGACAUCUCUAAAAUUACUUGAUCGCAGAUCAUUAUUGAGACAUGUUUGUUGCAUAUUUUUCCUUUUUAUUUUUCACCCUUGCAUCGAGUGGCUUAUUUAUCAGGUCUGUUUUAUAUUAUUUUCUCUGUUCCAAUAUAAAUAUUCAUUUUAAAGGUUCGUUUCCUGGUGUUCUAAUUUGGGAUUUCUUGCCCUACUUUUGGUGGUACCUCCAUCAAAAUUAGAAAGACGUUUUAGUAAUGUUGUGUUUUCUGGGCCAUGCUUUUGGAUAUACUCACUCCGUUCCUAAAUAAAAGCCUUUUAGAGAUUCCAUGUAAUUUAUAAAUUAUAAUUUCAGUGAUGUCUUAUCCUUCUCAUUUGCUGUCCAGUUUUUUCUUAGAGCAAUGGUCUUAUGAUUCUGUUUGUAUCUAAUGCCAUUUUCUAUGUUUUUCUUACUUAUUUUCAGGACAAAUCCCACCAGACUUGGCUCUAAUUUAAGUUAUCAUAAGAGUAAGUAAUCAGCACUUGUUGUUCUGUUUUCUGAUUCUAUUGAGAAAGCUCAAAAUUUGCAGUGUAAGAUCAAACUUUUGCUCGCAGAAUAUUGAAUGUGUGCUAAAAAGUAUGUAGAUUUACUCAUGAUGGCAGAAUCCUGUGAAUUUCUUUUGAAUCGAUUGCUCAAUUAGGAAUAAUAACAUACAUGAUUUACGCAUGUGUGGACUUGGAACUUAUGGUCCUAUUGUUUGCGAACUAUUGUUGCAUAUGUACGCAUGUGUGGACUUUCGUUGGAUAUAUAUUGCUUGCUGGAUCUAUAUAUUGCUGGAUAUAUAUUGUUGGUCAUUUUGCU